GGAAGUAUAGUUCAGUGAUAGAGCACAUGCCUCGCAUGCAUUGGACCCUGGGUUCAAUCCCCAGCACCA
rnacentral:tRNA from 1 species